ACUAUUUUGGCAGAUGAUAUGUACUAGAUUUAGGAUCUAGGUAAAUAGAAGUAUUUCUAUAAGUAGUU
rnacentral:tRNA from 1 species